UUAUAAGCGCCAGAACUUAGCAGAUCAUUAUUUAAAUAAUUGUUAAGUUGACGAGGUCAGAGUUUAUCGAAUUGUCGGCGGAUGCUCUGCGGUGUGUUUACCAUCGUUAGAACUUCCUUAAAUCAUAGAAGUAAUUCUAUGGACAAAGGGAAGCUUAUG
rnacentral:ncRNA from 1 species